GGGGCACAAGUGUGAGGAGCCCACUUCCUCAGUCCUCCCCCCAAGGGCUCCAGACACCUGCCUCCAUGCCCCGUCCUGGCAGGAAGCCCACUUUGCUGAGGGGCUUUUCCUUCCAGGCAGGGCCAAAAUGAUCCAGCUUUGAGCCCAUUUGCCUUGGCCAGGGAAAGUGUGGGGAACAUGUGCAAUGACGAGCAGCUUCCCUGCAGCCAGAGAGGCCGGCACUGCCCCUGUGGAGCUGUGUGACCUCGGCAGGUCCAGUCACCACAGCUAGAAAGCACCUGCCUUCUGUGGAUGACAACAUCAUGGUAAUGGUGGCGGAAGGGCAGCACAGAUGGGCAGAGAACUAGGUCAAGGUCAGACUUAACUCCUGGAAAGUCUGACUCUGGAGGACACGGGCUCCUCUGCGUGCCGGGAGGUGGCCAGGUGGGAGGCUGAGGAAGAAAAGCCAGGGCUCCCGGCUGUGCCUGCCGCCUUCGGGACAAUCAGAGGGGUGGAUGGUUUGUGCACGUGCAUUUCAUUGCAGGUCAAAAGACCCAGGCAGCUGAGGGGUCUCUGGGGCCAGGGCUGAACUGCCGGACACUGAAUUUCUGGGCUUAUCUGAAGAGGUAGCUCCAAAUGGAAGCCAGGUUAAUCUAAAAGAUGGCAUGCUCAAAACACAGGCUGCCUGGGUUCAAAUUCCCGCUCUGCAACCCAGGGGGAGUCAUGUCAGCACUUCCUGACACCGCACAGGGGAGGCUUCCAUUUGGAUGGUUCUGCCCCUGGUGCAAAGUCAAUGUUCCAGAAACAGCAGUUGGCUUGAAACAAGUCCUCUAAGGUUCUUGCUAAUUCAGGGGGUGCGGGAAUUGUGGGAAGGGGGUGGUGGGGAGCAGUGGGGCUUGGGGUCAUGAGGGUGGCUCCAACCCCACCCCUCCAUACACAGGGUGACCCCAGCUUUGCAACACUGAUUCAUUCAGCAGGUUCUGGGUUUUGGCACACAGCACUGUACGAGCCAAAAACCCGCCCUCCCAGGGCUUACACUCCAGUGAGAAGAGAAACUAAGAAGAAUGAAAAUAGGAUACAGUGUCAUGAAUGCUGCAAAGAAAUAUUGGGCAGGUUAGGAGGGGAGGGAGAGGUAGGAGGUGCUGCUGGAGGUCAGGACCUUCCAGCAGAGCGAGGAUCUGAAUAAGGUGAGGGAGAGGCCCUGCUGGUGUUGGAGGGAAGAGCAUCGAAGGCGGAGGGAACAGCCAGUGCAAAGGUGCCGAGCAGUAGCACGUUGGAAGACCAGGAAGCAGGCCAGGGAGGUUGGCGGGGGCUGGGGGGGGGGGGGGAAAUAGNUAGCAAAAGAGGAGGAUCUAGGGAGAGGCAGUGAGGAAUCCGGGCUUUGGCUGAAAGAGUGAUGAGGAGCAGAGGGAGGGUUCUAAGCUGAGCCGGGGAGUGGCAGGCUGUGAUUUACAUGUUGAAAGGUCUGCAAUAUACAUGUAUACACUUCCUUGCUCUGUCAACCCUGAAGUCCUAGAAAUAGUAAACCCCAAGAAGCAAAGAGGACACACCCAGCACCCCAGCACCCAGAUCUGGGUCUUUAAUCCCAUUGCCUUCAAUAAAGGGGGCCUAAGGCUCCUGGGGGCAAUGGCUGAUCCGUUUGAUGGGGGCAGGAAAUCGACAAGAUGAGCCUGGAGCAUCUCACAAUGCUGGAAAGAAGAGAAAGCCACGAAAACAACAAAACAAAAGGCCACAGUGACGGGGCUGGUCUGAGGGACACGAGAGUGAACGCAGUAGGUUUCCAGUGGCAAAGGGGACAGUUCAAGCAAUGACAUGCAGCAGCAUUAGAUGAGACCUCAAGGUGUAAAGCAAAUAUCUAUGAGUCCAGACUGACGUAAGCCAAUGAAUAGUUAAAUAAACGAGAGAGACGAAAAGCUCCUGCGCAAAAGAACACCAGGGGAGUUCCCUGAUGGUGCAGGGGUUUAAGGAGUUGGUGUUAUCCCUGCAGCAGCUUGGGUCACUGCUGUGGUGGGGUUUGAUCCCUGGCCCCAGAAUUGCCACAUGCUGCAGGUGCAGUCAAAAAAAAAAAAAAAAAAACAGGAACACACCAGCUGAUUUGGGAUGAGACUUAACCUGCCCUCCCAGAGGGGAGCUCCACUCCUCAUGCCUUCAGUGUAGGCUGCCCCUAGUGACUCCUUCCAGAGGAGGCAGCAGAAGAGGGGACAAAGAGGGACUUCCCAGUGGAGACACCUGGCAGAUACCACCUCAGCCAGGUGGCCAAGGUCUGCCUCAUCAGGGGUGAGUCAUCUUGAUGGGUGGCACCCUUGCCUGGACAUGAUGAGAAUGACACUUCGCCUCUGUGGUCUUCCUCGUCAGCACCCAUAAACACAAAAUCAAAAAACAAACAAACGAAAAAA
rnacentral:lncRNA from 1 species